GAGGGGCGGCUCGGCACCCCCGGCCUCCCGCAGGGCUCCACCCCAAGGGACACCCGCGCGAGGACUCGUGACCAGCAUCGAGGCCACACUACGGACCUCGAGUCGGAAUCUGUGCAGUCAACAACCUGCCCAACUGGACCGGAAAACUGAGGCCCAACCCCACCUGUGCCCCGAAGCCGGAUGCCACCCUGAAGGGCCAGGCUCCAGGCGCGCUGCGCCUCCGUGGACGGCGCGGAGAAGCAGAGAGUGACGCACUUAGACCGUGAUAAAACCCAAGAAUCGGGAAGGUGGGAGCCCCUGGCACCCCCAGCCCGGAGAGGUCAACUGUUUACAGCUCAGAACGUGAUCCAAACCGCGAACCCCAAGCCCUUGUACUCUGAGAACAAGGGGCGGUACCCGGACUGCAAGGGGCGGGGCCGGCACCCGGCCCGCGGAGGCGCUGGCAGCUACCCGGCUCCGAAAAUCAACCCAUAUGGAUAAAACCUGUGUGGGGCGGACUGCUUUUGUUCUUUA